rnacentral:tRNA from 1 species
GCCGCUCUAGCUCAGCUGGUAGAGCAUCUGUCUUGUAAACAGAAGGUCAGGGGUUCGAGCCCCCUGGGCGGCUCCC